AGAGUUUGAUCAUGGCUCAGAUUGAACGCUGGCGGCAUGCUUUACACAUGCAAGUCGAACGGCAGCGCGGGGCAACCUGGCGGCGAGCGGCGAACGGGUGAGUAAUAUAUCGGAACGUACCCAAGAGUGGGGGAUAACGUAGCGAAAGUUACGCUAAUACCGCAUACGAUCCAAGGAUGAAAGCGGGGGAUCGCAAGACCUCGUGCUCCUGGAGCGGCCGAUAUCUGAUUAGCUAGUUGGUGAGGUAAAGGCUCACCAAGGCGACGAUCAGUAGCUGGUCUGAGAGGACGACCAGCCACACUGGAACUGAGACACGGUCCAGACUCCUACGGGAGGCAGCAGUGGGGAAUUUUGGACAAUGGGCGCAAGCCUGAUCCAGCAAUGCCGCGUGAGUGAAGAAGGCCUUCGGGUUGUAAAGCUCUUUUGUCAGGGAAGAAACGGUAGAGGCUAAUAUCCUUUGCUAAUGACGGUACCUGAAGAAUAAGCGCCGGCUAACUACGUGCCAGCAGCCGCGGUAAUACGUAGGGUGCAAGCGUUAAUCGGAAUUACUGGGCGUAAAGCGUGCGCAGGCGGUUUUGUAAGUCUGUCGUGAAAGCCCCGGGCUCAACCUGGGAAUUGCGAUGGAGACUGCAAGGCUUGAAUCUGGCAGAGGGGGGUAGAAUUCCACGUGUAGCAGUGAAAUGCGUAGAGAUGUGGAGGAACACCGAUGGCGAAGGCAGCCCCCUGGGUCAAGAUUGACGCUCAUGCACGAAAGCGUGGGGAGCAAACAGGAUUAGAUACCCUGGUAGUCCACGCCCUAAACGAUGUCUACUAGUUGUCGGGUUUUAAUUAACUUGGUAACGCAGCUAACGCGUGAAGUAGACCGCCUGGGGAGUACGGUCGCAAGAUUAAAACUCAAAUGAAUUGACGG
rnacentral:rRNA from 1 species